rnacentral:rRNA from 1 species
GACGAAACGCUGGCGGCGUGCUUAACACAUGCAAGUCGAGCGAGGCCCUCCCUUCGGGGGGUGCCCUAGCGGCGAACGGGUGAGUAACACGUGGGCAACCUGCCCUCAGCUCGUGGGAGUAACUCCAAGAAAUUGGUGCUAAUACCGGAUGUGACCGCUGACCGCAUGGUCUGGUGGUGGAAAGAUUUAUCGGCUGAGGAUGGGCCCGCGGCCUAUCAGCUUGUUGGUGGGG